AUUGAACGCUGGCGGCAGGCCUAACACAUGCAAGUCGAACGAGUGGCGGACGGGUGAGUAAUGUCUGGGAAACUGCCUGAUGGAGGGGGAUAACUACUGGGAACGGUGGCUAAUACCGCAUACCAUCGGCAGGGCCCCGAUGGGAUUAGCGAGUGGGUGGGGGAACGGAUCAACUAAGCGACGAUCCCUAGCUGGUCGGAGAGGAGGACAACGCAGACUGGAACUGAGACACGGUCCAGACUCCUACGGGAGGCAGCAGUGGGGAAUUUUGCACAAUGGGCGCAAGCCUGAUGCAGCCAUGCCGCGUGUAUGAAGAAGGCCUUCGGGUUGUAAAGUACUUUCAGCGGGGAGGCGUUACCCGCAGAAGAAGCACCGGCUAACUCCGUGCCAGCCGCCGCGGUAAUUC
rnacentral:rRNA from 1 species